rnacentral:tRNA from 2 species
GGGCCUGUGGUCUAGUGGCUAUGACGUCGCCUUCACGAGGCGAAGGUCGGGAGUUCGACCCUCCCCAGGCCCA